GGGCCCGCACAAGCAGUGGAGUAUGUGGUUUAAUUCGAAGCAACGCGAAGAACCUUACCUGGGCUUGACAUCUACCGAAUCCGCUAGAGAUAGUGGAGUGCCUUCGGGAACGGUAAGACAGGUGGUGCAUGGUUGUCGUCAGCUCGUGUCGUGAGAUGUUGGGUUAAGUCCCGCAACGAGCGCAACCCUUAUUGUUAGUUGCCAGCAUGUAAUGAUGGGCACUCUAGCGAGACUGCCGGUGGACAAAUCGGAGGAAGGUGGGGACGACGUCAAAUCAUCAUGCCCCUUAUGUCCAGGGGCUACACACGUACUACAAUGGCCGGUAACAAAGCGAAGCAAAGCCGCGAGGUGGAGCAAACCGCAAAACCCGGUCUCAGUUCAGAUUGCAGGCUGCAACUCGCCUGCAUGAAGUCGGAAUUGCUAGUAAUCGCGGAUCAGCAUGCCG
rnacentral:rRNA from 1 species